AUUUCUUAAAGUUUUAGAAAGUUAGUAUUGUUUUCAUACGUUCGUUCUUUCAAUUGUAAGCACUAGUAACUUGAUUCAAAUAGAAUACGGUUUUUUCAUGAAAUGCCCUCGAGGUUUGCAAAAACGCACCAAAUACCCUCGCGUCUUUUGAAUCACAUAAUAUACCCCUAUUUUUACGUUCUGUUCAUGAGAUGCACUUUUGAGUUAACGGCGUUAGUCUGCGAGUUUACAUUUUUGCCCUUGUGUGUUAUUUGGCGCGAUCCUUAGCUUAAAUCCCCAUUCAUUCCACUUAACCCACCCAAACUUUCUCUCUCCUCCCACUCUUCACCGUUGUCACCACCUUCGCCCCCGCUACCGUCGCCAACGCUGGCCUAGGGUUCGACUUCCUCAAUUGCACCGUCGAUGGCAUCGGUGACCCGGUCGCCACCGUCAUCUCCCAUCCCCAAUCGAUUAAGUGUUACUGAAUUUAGUGUUGUUGGUGUAAGAUUGUUGCUCAUUAUCUCUCCUUCCCCGUCCACCGCCGUCAAUGGUGGUCGUGCCUCCAUCGGUUGUCCAGUUGCACUUCAUCCUAUAUGGCGAUCUUUCUAAAAUUUUCCUUUUUAAUUGAGUGAAUUGAUUUUGAUGGAAAUCUCAAAAACCCAAAUUUAUUUUGUCUAAUUUCUUCCUUUUCUCUAAUUUCUCACUCACCACCGGCGAGAGGGUUGUGUCACCGCCUCUUGCUCGGUUUUUGGGCUCGCCUCCACCGUCCUCGUCUUUGAGGUUGCUGGGGCUGUUGUUGUCUUUCCUUGUUGGAAAUUGGAGUACUCUUGUUGUGGUUGUUAUCUGCUGCUCGUUGCUAGCCAUGAGAGUCGGAGAAGGAGGUGAAGGUGGUGGUGGUUUGCCAAAGAGGCAUGGGCAAAGGUGCCACCAUUUAGUGGUUGGGAGAAUGGAGGUGAAGGUGUUUAUACCCAGAGCUUUGAAAAUGCUAGGAAAAAUAAGACUUCGGGGGCUUGUGGAAGACCCUGCUGAGCCCCAGGUCAACAAUCGAGCUUGACCUUCUACUGCUGCUGGAACCAAAAAUAAGGCAUAGGAUCCUCAGUUGAGAAAUAAUACAAGUAAAGGCUACAAUUAGUGGGAAACAUAGAUUAGUUACGUACUGAGAGGAUUAGUUACUGAGAAAAUAAAAUGUAUUUUGCUGUAGAAGAUUAUUUGAAUUACCAAUGAAGCUGAAUUUUUGUUUUUUCUUAA